GAUGAACGCUGGCGGCGUGCUUAACACAUGCAAGUCGAACGGUGAACACGGAGCUUGCUCUGUGGGAUCAGUGACGAACGGGUGAGUAACACGUGAGCAACCUGCCCCUGACUCUGGGAUAAGCGCUGGAAACGGCGUCUAAUACUGGAUAUGUGACGUGAUCGCAUGGUCUGCGUCUGGAAAGAAUUUCGGUUGGGGAUGGGCUCGCGGCCUAUCAGCUUGUUGGUGAGGUAAUGGCUCACCAAGGCGUCGACGGGUAGCCGGCCUGAGAGGGUGACCGGCCACACUGGGACUGAGACACGGCCCAGACUCCUACGGGAGGCAGCAGUGGGGAAUAUUGCACAAUGGGCGCAAGCCUGAUGCAGCAACGCCGCGUGAGGGAUGACGGCCUUCGGGUUGUAAACCUCUUUUAGCAGGGAAGAAGCGAAAGUGACGGUACCUGCAGAAAAAGCGCCGGCUAACUACGUG
rnacentral:rRNA from 1 species